rnacentral:lncRNA from 1 species
UGGUAUUGCACCGAGGGAAUUGGUGAAAUAUUUAGACGUGGCCGUAGCUAAUGUUCUCUAUGUGGCAGUAAAUUUGAUGAGACAAACCAAGAAAUAUAAGACUAUAAGCUUGCAUCAAGAAAGAAGAAAAAUAGAAAGAAGGAAGAAAUUCUAUGUGUGAGAUGGACGACAUUAAAGAGAAGGGUUCAGAGAAAAAGAUGUACCAAAUUGAUCCAAAACCAAACACAGUGAAUUAGGGAUUUGGUUGAGAGAAAAUAGAUAAUUAGGAAUUAAUUCAUUAGAAACACAAUUACAUGAUAUUUUAAGUGAAUUGAUCACAACCAUUAGAUUAAAACAAAUGAACGGAUUGGAUUUGGUGUCAAAAUAAAGUUUGACACC